CACUAACACGUGGCUGUUGACACAUUACACACAAUAUACUUAAAAUACCUGGGGCAAUUUACACUUCUGGUUUAUUGUCCCUUUAACCAGCCAGUGUAUCUGUGUAUGAUGUAUUUAUCUACCGUGCAAGGGUUGUGUAGCCAGUCAAGGUCGUUAAAUGUAUCUCUAGCUCCAUUGACAGACUCCCAUAAUAAUAUAUUCGAAAGCGGAUCCCGGAUUUUGAAAAAAAAGAAUGUGGAAGGACGUAAAGACAACAUUACAAAUUGGACUAGUGUACAUGCAACAUUCAAUCUAUUUCUUGUGUGACAGUUUACUGACUGUCAAACCCGUGUUCAAUUUAUUAUUUUGAUAUGGUUCCAUCAUUCGAAAAUAAGUUAUUAAAAUCUCAGUAGGCUAAAAAAAACUACUGGAUUUUACCCACAGAGUGCAACAAACACAGGUCACGGAAAUGGUCUCUACUACUUCAAACUUUGGCAAUCUAAAAUAAAAUCUAAUCAGUCAAUUUCACAGUAUCACAAUUUCAUGUAACAGAAGAAGAUAGUGCCUUGAAGAUAGCUGAGUAAAAUAAAUAUUUUUUUAAACAAGAUAUAUGUAGGGAGCUCUAUUUUUAACCAACCCGCGCAUGAACAGAUUCAUUUUUCUUGUAUUUACUUCCUGAAUGACACGACUCUAGAAAUGUUUGCCACUGGAC
rnacentral:lncRNA from 1 species